rnacentral:lncRNA from 1 species
UCUCCAUCAGCUCCGUUCCUCUAAAUUUGUAUCAAAGUGUCUCUGUGUUAACAGUAUCAUUCAAGUUUUCUGCAGGUAUCUGCUGAAGGAAUAUCUCUCACAAUGCUGUUCUGCAUUUCCUCAGAGGAAGGUGAAGCACUUCAGAAACCAGGUGCUGAAUCACCCUCCAGAGGAAGAGUCCUUCUCAUCCGUAGAGAUGUCUAUAGAAUGUCUCUACUAUAUCAUACAUCAUCAAAAAAUAAACUGUCUUGUCAUGGGAGGAAGAGGUCAUUCCUUUCACUGUGUCUUAAAUUUGUGAGGAAUCAGGACCAGAACACCUCUUUGCAAAUGCUCGCAUCAAUCUGAUGGGACUGAGUUUCUUUAUGCUUUGGUUGCAUCCUGCUUGGCAGCUGGCUGAACUGCACAAGAAUAUAAUGUGCUGUUGCAUAUGGUACUUUGGGGAAGAAAAAAAAACACUUGUUAUGAGUUUGAAUGAUAACAGCCUCCAUUAAUGGAAAUUUCCUCAUCUGAAGAUGGUGUCUCAACUGCAUCUGCAGUUAAAUGCUUCAGAUGGCCUCUUUUUCACCAUCACUGAAGGUGAAGAACUCUACCAAGAAGAACAGUCUUGAAUUGUCAGCAGCCUCUCUGAGAGGCACACAAGUCAAAUACCACCUCAGAACUCUUUGUUCCUUACUUGCAGCUGCUAGACAUGUGGACGUUUCAAUGUUAUUUGGUAUUUACUUAAUUAUUAAUCAUUUGUGCUAUAAACCUUGAAAUAAUAUCCUGUAGCAUUUUCAGUGACAAGGCACAGUACAGAAUCAUGACCAAUAGUAACGCAUACUUAAAGAUGCUGGAAAUUCAUGUGGUGGUGAUACCAGUAACCAACUGGGAAGAUGGGAGAACUGCUGCAAAACCAAAAACUGCUGUACCUAAGGCCAGUAGUCUUUGGUUCAUUGAGCAGAGGUUAGGAAAGUGCAUACUCCAGGUCAGCUAACUGAAUAGACUAUUGUCCAGUGUGCAAGGCUCCUAGGAGUAUCUCCCAGUCCCUGAAAACUCCAGAUACAACCAAGAGUAACUGCUUCUCAUCCAAGCAGCAAUAUUUAGCUUUGUGUACUCUCAUUUCUUUUGUUUUCUUCCUUCUGAUGCCCAAAGUUUAUUCCUCAGUGGCUGUAUUCAAGCUUGCGUGAAAGGAACAUGGCUCACAACUCCUGAAUUUCUGGCAUAUGGUUGCAAAUGAUUAAAUAUAUUGUAGAGGAGAUUGUUGGAGCUUAUAAUGAAGAACAGGAAUCUGUAUAAGCAGCUUUCGCAUGGGAAAAGUCAAAAUUCUUUAUGGCAAAACUUGCUGUCACUUGAUAUGUUGCUUGCUCUCUACAAGAGUUGGCUUAUUUAUAUAUAUCAACAUAUAUGUAUUUUAAGGUUAUUUAGAAAAGGCUAGACUUUCAACAAUUUAAAGAUGCUAAUAAAAUCCUCCUACCAUUGUAGGAGAUGGAGUGG